rnacentral:rRNA from 1 species
AACGCGAAGAACCUUACCAAGGCUUGACAUAUAGCGAAAAGUGGCAGAGAUGUCAUGUCCGCGAGGGCGCUAUACAGGUGGUGCAUGGUUGUCGUCAGCUCGUGUCGUGAGAUGUUGGGUUAAGUCCCGCAACGAGCGCAACCCUCGUUCUGUGUUACCAGCAUUCAGUUGGGGACUCACAGGAGACUGCCGGGGUCAACUCGGAGGAAGGUGGGGAUGACGUCAAAUCAUCAUGCCCCUUAUGUCUUGGGCUGCACGCAUGCUACAAUGGCCGGUACAAAGUGCUGCGAGAUCGUAAGAUUGAGCGAAUCACAUAAAGCCGGUCUCAGUUCGGAUUGAGGUCUGCAACUCGACCUCAUGAAGUCGGAGUUGCUAGUAAUCGUAGAUCAGCAACGCUACGGUGAAUACGUUCCCGGGUCUUGUACACACCG